rnacentral:lncRNA from 1 species
AGAGUAGAGUAAUUCUUCAACUUCUUCCUUCACCAUCACUUGUGGCUUCAAGAGUAGAGUAAUUCUUCAUCUUCUUCCUUCACCAUCACUUGUGGCUUUAAGAGCAAAGUAAUUCUCUAUCUUCUUCUACUAUACUCUGACUACAACUAACUUCAUUUUUCCUAAAAACCUCUAUUUUUUUACAAUUAAUAAAUAAAUAAU